GAAUACGUUCCCGGGCCUUGUACACACCGCCCGUCACACCAUGGGAGUGGGUUGCAAAAGAAGUAGGUAGCUUAACCUUCGGGAGGGCGCUUACCACUUUGUGAUUCAUGACUGGGGUGAAGUCGUAACAAGGUAACCGUAGGGGAACCUGCGGUUGGAUCACCUCCUUACCUUAAAGAAGC
rnacentral:rRNA from 2 species